CGAACCAUUAUGCCUAUUCUUCUCAAAACCCUCUAGCUUUUCUCUCUUCCUCGAACCCUAUUCUUCUCAAAACCCCUGAUCUUCUCUCUAUCCCUCGAACCCUAUUUGAUCUCUCUCUCAAACCCUCGCGAUUUCACAUCUCUCUCUGGAGCCCUCUUUGCUCUCAUUGUCCCUCUCUCAAGCCCUAUUCGCCUCGCUGUCCCUCUCCCGAGCCCUCUUCACUGUCGCUGUCCCUCUCUCAAACCCUUGCUUCUUCCCCCUUUCUCUCUCGAACUGUCGUCGCAUAAUAACACAGCAAUGUCGUUGUCCUUCGUUGAUGAAGCAAUCACCUUCAUCGUUCGUUUCGGAGUCGUAGUUCGACGCUGAGAGAGUACCUUCAUCCACCCUAGGUUCGUGAUAAUACUCCAGGAGCGGGAAGGGUUCGGAGAGGAGUGAAAAAUAGGAAGAUUGUUCGGUGAGAAAUGCGAAUUAGGUCACGUGUUCGGUGGAAAAGGAAGAUUCAACGGCUGAAUCGGUGAAAUGGUGCAAAAAUGAGGAUGUAAUCGGUGGAUUCGAUGGAGAAGGCUAUAGUGAUUUAUCAGAAAAUAUUCCGGAAUUUAUGUUCUUUCUCUUCUCUUCGACAUUUAUGUAAAUGUUUUUGUGCAGGUUCAAGAAGUGUACGAAAUUUCAGCUGAGUAUGAAGAAAAGCGUGACCCUAAGAAACUGGAAGAAUUUGGAAAUAUGAUAACUAGUUUGGAUGCAGGGGACUCUAUUGUUGUUGCCAUGUCCUUUUCGCACAUGCUUAACUUGGCCAACUUGGCUGAGGAGGUCCAGAUUUCUCGUCGUCGAAGGAAAAAGGUGAAGAAAGGACAUUUUGCAGAUGAGAACAAUGCAACUACAGAUGAAAUCAAGAGGACCCCCCUAAGACCACAAGAUGAGCUGAGACCAGGGAUGAGCUACUUCCAUGAAACAAUUUGGAAUGGUGUUUCCAGAUUUCAUCAAGCAAUCUGCUUAGCGAGGAAGGUUCAUGUGAGGAUAUAAGCUCUGAUGGUACAUAUAAAAUUGUCAUUGAAACAGUCAUGCCUCGGAUUUAUUUGAGAAGAAAGAGAUGUGGCCUUGUGAAGCUUGUGGGUUGAACAUUCCUUAUAAGAUGUUAAAGAAGAAAAAGGAUUUAAGGGUCGGGGGCCAAUUCCUAUGUAGAACAUAAAAGAGUUUUUAACAAAAUCAAAGCAUUAUUGUGGCAUAUGCAAGAAAGUUUGGGAUCUUCAGAUAGUGGAAGUUGGGUGCACUGUGAUGGAUGGAGAGGAGUGUGAGUGCAUGCACAGGGAAUACCCAUUACUUGGUAUUUUGUCUCUUUGGAGGAAGAGGGUAGAGGACCAUGAAGAACAUUGGAAGAAGUUGUUAAAAGGGAUGUCACAGGGAAUAAUUCUCUAAGAAUUUGUUUUUUGACUGUACCCAAUGGUGUAAUCCAUAUAGUUGACAUAGUUUAAUGAAUUAAGAAUUUUGUUGUUGUUUUCAGCUUAAUAGUAUGGCAUUUUAGCAUUAUGAUAAACUGGAAAAAAAGAAUUUUAUAAUUCUUUCAUGAUGAAUCAACCAUUGAUAAAAUAUAAUUCAUUAUCUUUGAAGACUAUUUGCUUCCAUUUUUAUAAUCUAGAGCUGGAACAAGAUCCAGAUUUCAUAAUGUUGUCUCGCCAAUUCAAAGCUACUGUUAUGGAGCUUAUUUAUGUUUUGGAGCUGGUAAAGCUUUUACCUUCAGCACUUAACAUUUACUGAUAAUAUAGAAUUUUGAUUUGAGUAUUUAGCUCUAGAAAACCUAGGAUAAUAUAAAUAUUAGUUGAAUAUUACCAUUUCAGUCUAUGCUUGCCUAAAAUAUUUUGGGUUAUUCAUGUUAACUUCUGUUUUAUAGUUAUAUGUAUAAACUAUUAAUUUUAAUAUUUUGGGAUUGUCAUCUUUUUGUGUUGCAUUUGUAUUUAAUUACUAAAAAUUCCUUGCUUGUUUGUAGAAACAAAGAACUGGUUGAAGGGUUGCAAUUAAGGGUCACCUUAUGAGUGGCAAGUUUACAGGUUAAUUCUAUAUGGAUGGUACAAUUUUAAGAUUUGGGGAGUUGAAGGGACCAGGGGCAAUGAUUGAACAAGUUAAAGGGUUUUCGUAUUCAGUUUUUUCUCUUCAUGGUGCAAGCCCUUUCCUUCCAACAUCAGAUGCUGAUGUGAAGCAUAAUGAAUCAAUAACAACUACUUAGAAGAGCAAGAAGUCAUGGUGGGGAGUUUUGAAAUAUUAGUGGUAGUAGUUAUGAACAUUCUUUUAGAUAUUUUUCUCUUUUUCAUAUUUUUCUUAAUAUUUUAUAUUUUAUUGUAAAAGUUAAAUUUGAGUGUUAUGAGAUAUUAAUAUUAAGGAGUUGUAUUUAUUUCUUUGAACUCUCUUUAUAGAGUAUUCAAAUAAAAUUUUCAUGUUUUAAUUA